rnacentral:lncRNA from 1 species
GUACCAUGCAUGCUUAAAAUGAAUGUAUCUACAUUUGUUCCUGAGAUACAGGUUGAUGGAUGGAUGGCUCCAUGGAUGUGAUGGAGAUGGUUUACUAUCGGGACCUUCCGUAUCCUGCUGAUGCUUUGUUGCUUAGGAUAUGAAUGGCUGAGCGGAGGCUGUAAAACCUGGCACUCUGCUUGGGUAUGAGGUUCUUCCUGCCAUCCUGCCAUCAUUUGUUUUUUAUGUUUUGUCGCCAAAAGUGACCUUGAGGAACCCUGGGAGCUCAGGAAGGAAGGAGCGCCCAGAAGCAGGGACAGGGAGCUGGUUGGGGAGGACCAGAAAUCAGGUUAUCAAUACUCUGGCUGACCAUCAUCAUCGUGGGACUGACUUUGGUGGAAGUCCUUGGUUAGGUAUCAUUAUUGAAUUUCCGAGAAGUUAUAAAGUUGUCAUUACCCUCUGGACAGUUUACCUUUGGGUGAGUAUACUAACUUUCUGUAGAGGUAUACUUGUAAUCACAAAUAAGA